AGAAUCAACGCUGGCGGCGUGCCUAACACAUGCAAGUCGAACGAGAAAGUGGAGCAAUCCAUGAGUAAAGUGGCGCACGGGUGAGUAACACGUGACUAACCUACCCUUGAGUGGGGAAUAAACUUCGGGAAACCGAGGCUAAUACCGCAUAACACCUACGGGUCAAAGGAGCAAUUCGGCUUAAGGAGGGGGUCGCGGCAGAUUAGUUAGUUGGCGGGGUAAUGGCCCACCAAGACAGUGAUCUGUA
rnacentral:rRNA from 1 species